rnacentral:rRNA from 1 species
UACGGGGGGAGCAAGCGUUGUUCGGAUUUACUGGGCGUAAAGGGCGCGUAGGCGGCCAGCACAAGUCAGUUGUGAAAUCCCGGAGCUCAACUUCGGAACUGCCUCUGAUACAGCACGUCUUGAGUCCGGAAGAGGUGGGUGGAAUUCCUAGUGUAGAGGUGAAAUUCGUAGAUAUUAGGAAGAACACCGGUGGCGAAGGCGGCCCACUGGUCCGGUACUGACGCUGAGGUGCGAAAGCGUGGGGAGCAAACAGG